GACGUAGGGUGCAAGCGUUGUCCGGAAUUAUUGGGCGUAAAGAGCUCGUAGGCGGUUUGUCGCGUCUGCUGUGAAAACCCGAGGCUCAACCUCGGGCCUGCAGUGGGUACGGGCAGACUAGAGUGCGGUAGGGGAGAUUGGAAUUCCUGGUGUAGCGGUGGAAUGCGCAGAUAUCAGGAGGAACACCAAUGGCGAAGGCAGAUCUCUGGGCCGUAACUGACGCUGAGGAGCGAAAGCAUGGGGAGCGAACAGG
rnacentral:rRNA from 1 species